GACGAACGCUGGCGGCGUGCUUAACACAUGCAAGUCGAGCGAAGAGAUCCCUUCGGGGAUUGAUUAGCGGCGGACGGGUGAGUAACACGUGGGUAACCUACCUCAAAGAAGGGGAUAGCCUCCCGAAAGGGAGAUUAAUACCGUAUAAUACCAUGAUUCGCAUGAAUUUUGGAUAAAAGGAGUAAUCCGCUUUGAGAUGGACCCGCGGCGCAUUAGCUAGUUGGUGGGUAACGGCCUACCAAGGCAUCGAUGCGUAGCCGACCUGAGAGGGUGAUCGGCCACAUUGGAACUGAGACACGGUCCAGACUCCUACGGGAGGCAGCAGUGGGGAAUAUUGCACAAUGGGCGAAAGCCUGAUGCAGCAACGCCGCGUGAGUGAUGAAGGUCUUCGGAUUGUAAAGCUCUGUCUUCUGGGACGAUAAUGACGGUACCAGAGGAGGAAGCCACGGCUAACUACGUG
rnacentral:rRNA from 1 species